AACGAACGCUGGCGGCAUGCCUAACACAUGCAAGUCGAACGAAGUCUUCGGACUUAGUGGCGCACGGGUGCGUAACGCGUGGGAAUCUGCCCUUGGGUACGGAAUAACUCAGAGAAAUUUGUGCUAAUACCGUAUAAUGUCUUCGGACCAAAGAUUUAUCGCCCAAGGAUGAGCCCGCGUAAGAUUAGCUAGUUGGUGGGGUAAAAGCCUACCAAGGCGACGAUCUUUAGCUGGUCUGAGAGGAUGAUCAGCCACACUGGGACUGAGACACGGCCCAGACUCCCACGGGAGGCAGCAGUGGGGAAUAUUGGACAAUGGGCGAAAGCCUGAUCCAGCAAUGCCGCGUGAGUGAUGAAGGCCUUAGGGUUGUAAAGCUCUUUUACCAGGGAUGAUAAUGACAGUACCUGGAGAAUAAGCUCCGGCUAACUCCGUGCCAGCCGCCGCUGUAAAAC
rnacentral:rRNA from 1 species